UGGCAGCGCCCGGCGCCCCGACGGGGCGGGCGGGACCCCCCUCCCCCCGGAGCCCCCCGGUCCGUGUCACCCCCGGCGGGGGAGGGAGCGGGGCCAGCGACAUCCGGGCCCUUGGCUGGCACCGCCGCCGAGCCGCCGGCACGGCAGCCGCGGGUCAGCGCGGCCGGACGGGGCGGGUGGUGCCUCCGUGCCCCUCGUCGUGCCGUGCCCGCCGCCAGCCCCCCCGAGGUGCGCGGAGCUGCCCCGCCCCAUCCCGUCCUGUCCCGUCCCGUCCCGUCCCACGGCAGGGGCGAUGCUACCCUCGCUGAGCCGCCCGCGACUCCCUCGCUGCUGAUUCGCUUUAGACGGUUUGCCUGGCGUAGGAUCAUCCCGCGGAUAACCCCUCAUCCCGGCGGCGGCUGCGAGCCUGGGCGAUGCGGCUCCAAGACUGACCCUGCUGAGAGCCCCUGAGAUAUUGAACUCUAUGAGCGGAGACCACUUGACUGCACUCAGCACCUUUCAGGACCAGGCCCUAGGAGAUGGUCAGAGGAGUGAAGGGAGUGUCGCCGAUUUGAAAGAAAACCAAGGGUCCUGG